rnacentral:rRNA from 1 species
UACGUAGGGGGCGAGCGUUGUCCGGAGUUACUGGGCGUAAAGCGCUCGCAGGCGGUCUGCUAAGUUUGGCGUGACAGUUGGUGGCUUAACUGCCAAAGUGCUGCGAAAACGGACAGACUUGAGGGCUUCAGAGGGACACGGAAUUCCGGGUGGAGUGGUGAAAUGCGUAGAGAUCCGGAGGAACACCAAAGGCGAAGGCAGUGUCCUGGGGAGUACCUGACGCUCAGGUGCGAAAGCCAGGGGAGCGAACGGG